CCUACGAGAGGCAGCAGUGAGGAAUAUUGGUCAAUGGGCGCGAGCCUGAACCAGCCAAGUAGCGUGAAGGAUGACUGCCCUACGGGUUGUAAACUUCUGUUAUAAAGGAAUAAAGUGAGGCACGUGUGCCUUUUUGUAGGUACUUUAUGAAUAAGGAUCGGCUCAAUCCGUGACAGCAGCCGAGGUAAUACGGAGGAUCCGAGCGUUAUACGGAUUGAUUGUGUUUAAAGGGAGCGUAGAUGGGUUGUUAAGUCAGGUGUGAAAGUUGUCGGCUAAACCGUAAAAUUGCAAUUGAUACUGGCAGCCUUGAGGACAGUUGAGGUAGGCGGAAUUCGUGGUGUAGCGGUGAUAUGCUUAGAUAUCACGAAGAACUCCGAUUGCGAAGGCAGCCUACUAAACUGCCACUGACAUUGAUGCUCGAAAGUGUGGGUAUCAAACAGGAUUAGAUACCCUUGUAGUC
rnacentral:rRNA from 1 species